rnacentral:rRNA from 2 species
ACCUGAAACCGUGUACGUACAAGCAGUGGGAGCACCCUUUGGGUGUGACUGCGUACCUUUUGUAUAAUGGGUCAGCGACUUAUAUUCUGUAGCAAGGUUAACCGAAUAGGGGAGCCGGAGGGAAACCGAGUCUUAACCGGGCGUUAAGUUGCAGGGUAUAGACCCGAAACCCGGUGAUCUAGCCAUGGGCAGGUUGAAGGUUGGGUAACACUAACUGGAGGACCGAACCGACUAAUGUUGAAAAAUUAGCGGAUGACCUGUGGCUGGGGGUGAAAGGCCAAUCAAACCGGGAGAUAGCUGGUUCUCCCCGAAAGCUAUUUAGGUAGCGCCUCGUGAAUUCAUCUCCGGGGGUAGAGCACUGUUUCGGCUAGGGGGCCAUCCCGGCUUACCAACCCGAUGCAAACUGCGAAUACCGGAGAAUGUUAUCACGGGAGACACACGGCGGGUGCUAACGUCCGUCGUGAAGAGGGAAACAACCCAGACCGCCAGCUAAGGUCCCAAAGUCAUGGUUAAGUGGGAAACGAUGUGGGAAGGCCCAGACAGCCAGGAUGUUGGCUUAGAAGCAGCCAUCAUUUAAAGAAAGCGUAAUAGCUCACUGGUCGAGUCGGCCUGCGCGGAAGAUGUAACGGGGCUAAACCAUG